AAUAAAUACCUGGUGCAAAAUUGGGAACGACCGUUACCGAUACUGCUGAAAGGGCUUUCCUCGCCAAGAGUCCCAUGAGCUGUAAUCAUCUACAAUCGUAACAAGCAAUCCAUUUACCACAAGAGGUUUCUUGGAGAGGUAGCAAUUAACGAGGGUUUUAAAGAUUACCACCAUAAAUCAGCAGUCAUAUGAACUACAGCUGCUCCAGCAAACUUGUUUUUCCAGUCAAUGUUCCUCCAUUUUCAUCUUAAUGUUGAUUUUGGAUCACCUCACAGGAAGAAUUCUUCAGUAAUGCAGUCUCCUUCCACCCAAUGAAUAAAUCUGUCAGUUUUACAAUUUUAAGCAGUAAAGGAUGACCAGAAGAAAUACUAGUAUCUGGGUCAUGAAGCGACCAAUCCUCAUUGUGUUUGAGCUGUGAUUGAAUCGGCAUAGCCUAAAUGCAAUACCUUCUCCUG